rnacentral:hammerhead_ribozyme from 1 species
AUCCAGAUGACGAGUCCCGAAUUGAACGAAACGCGUGUCUUGGAU